UGGUGCAAGGCCUGCAAGGCCGGUCGGACGCGACCUCCCCCGCGAUGGCCAGAGAAGGAUACAAAGAAAACAAAAGGCGGCGGGAGAAGGAAGGCGAAGUCCCGCCGCCUCUCCUUUCCCUACCCCAUACAGGAGUAGGUGAUCACAGCGUACCCGAAGAAGGCACCAGCUAACGGGACGUUUGUGUCAAAAUACCUGAAGUGAAGUUCUCGGGCCUUGAAAGGGAAGCCGGACUGGCAUAAGAACUCGGAGUGCCGCACCUAACGUAAGACGGGCUGAGUGCAGGAUCAGCACGUGCUAGGGAGCAGUUCUGCAACACGAGGCGGCUCCUACAGGACACCAUGCUGUGAGAGUUGCCCCGAUUAAGAAGGAGCGUGGUUGUGGUACGCCCACCAGGGGCGAAGGAUUCCUUCUGGAACGACUUUAUC
rnacentral:misc_RNA from 1 species